GGAGAAUUGCUUGAACCUGGGAGGUGGAGGUUGCAGUGAGCUGAGAUCACGCCAUUGCACUCCAGCCUGGGCGACAGAGUAAGACCCUGUCU
rnacentral:miRNA from 1 species